AAUCAACGCUGGCGGCGUGCCUAACACAUGCAAGUCGAACGCGAAAGUCCCGCAAGGGAUGAGUAGAGUGGCAAACGGGUGAGUAACACGUGGGUGACCUGCCUUCGAGCGGGGAUAACGUCCCGAAAGGGACGCUAAUACCGCAUGACAUCCUGCCUUUGAAGAGGUGGAGAUCAAAGCUGGGGAUCGCAAGACCUAGCACUUGAAGAGGGGCCCGCGUCUGAUUAGCUAGUUGGUGGGGUAACGGCUCACCAAGGCAACGAUCAGUAUCCGGCCUGAGAGGGCGGACGGACACACUGGGACUGAGACACGGCCCAGACUCCUACGGGAGGCAGCAGGUGGGAAUUGUUCGCAAUGGGCGCAAGCCUGACGACGCAACGCCGCGUGGAGGAUGAAGACC
rnacentral:rRNA from 1 species